rnacentral:rRNA from 1 species
CCGGCGAUUUCCGAAUGGGGAAACCCAGUGUGUUUCGACACACUAUCAUUAACUGAAUCCAUAGGUUAAUGAGGCGAACCGGGGGAACUGAAACAUCUAAGUACCCCGAGGAAAAGAAAUCAACCGAGAUUCCCCCAGUAGCGGCGAGCGAACGGGGAGCAGCCCAGAGCCUGAAUCAGUGUGUGUGUUAGUGGAAGCGUCUGGAAAGGCGCGCGAUACAGGGUGACAGCCCCGUACACAAAAAUGCACAUACUGUGAGCUCGAUGAGUAGGGCGGGACACGUGGUAUCCUGUCUGAAUAUGGGGGGACCAUCCUCCAAGGCUAAAUACUCCUGACUGACCGAUAGUGAACCAGUACCGUGAGGGAAAGGCGAAAAGAACCCCGGCGAGGGGAGUGAAAAAGAACCUGAAACCGUGUACGUACAAGCAGUGGGAGCCUCUUAAUGGGGUGACUGCGUACCUUUUGUAUAAUGGGUCAGCGACUUAUAUUCUGUAGCAAGGUUAACCGAAUAGGGGAGCCGAAGGGAAACCGAGUCUUAACUGGGCGUUAAGUUGCAGGGUAUAGACCCGAAACCCGGUGAUCUAGCCAUGGGCAGGUUGAAGGUUGGGUAACACUAACUGGAGGACCGAACCGACUAAUGUUGAAAAAUUAGCGGAUGACUUGUGGCUGGGGGUGAAAGGCCAAUCAAACCGGGAGAUAGCUGGUUCUCCCCGAAAGCUAUUUAGGUAGCGCCUCGUGAAUUCAUCUCCGGGGGUAGAGCACUGUUUCGGCAAGGGGGUCAUCCCGACUUACCAACCCGAUGCAAACUGCGAAUACCGGAGAAUGUUAUCACGGGAGACACACGGCGGGUGCUAACGUCCGUCGUGAAGAGGGAAACAACCCAGACCGCCAGCUAAGGUCCCAAAGUCAUGGUUAAGUGGGAAACGAUGUGGGAAGGCCCAGACAGCCAGGAUGUUGGCUUAGAAGCAGCCAUCAUUUAAAGAAAGCGUAAUAGCUCACUGGUCGAGUCGGCCUGCGCGGAAGAUGUAACGGGGCUAAACCAUGCACCGAAGCUGCGGCAGCGACACUAUGUGUUGUUGGGUA